rnacentral:tRNA from 1 species
GGUUAUGGCUCAGCGGUAGAGCACUCACCUAGCACUUGCGAGGCCCUGGGUUUAAUCCUCAGCACCA